AGCCAUUGAACUACAUAACCCAAUUUAUUAAUUUAAGAAUAUUUUGUAGAAGAUUGAUUUAAAAAGUGCCAUCAGUCUGUUCACUAUAGAAAACCUAUUUCAUAUACUUUUUGUGAAAAGGAGGGAUUCAAUUAGAGACCCUUGGAGGCCUACCCUACGUGCUGUACUGAAAGACAAAGACUUUAAGACAUGAGCUCUUUGGUUUUCAAUCUUUGCUAUUUGACCAUGGCUAAAUUAUUUUCUUUUGGACAGACCCUCGUCAAAAUAAAUUCCAGGAGGAUGUCAUAAAAUGUGUUGAAUUGUAGUACGUAUGAACACCAGACACAGAGAACGAACAAGAGGAAGAUACAAGGGAGUUUUCCAUUGAAAAUGUCUGCACUCGCCAUGAUUUUACUUCUCAGAUUUACCGCAUUCAUUUCUAUAAUCAACAUGGCAGAUGUUGUGACUGAUCAGAGUGAUUUUGUGUUCGGUGCUAACGGUUCCAGUGUCACCAUUUGUAGCCACCUACAGACAUCAGUUUACAGUACUACUAUUCUCUGGUACCACGAGAACCUCGAGGGAGACAUUAAUUUGGUCUGUAUUUUUACCGAGUCUGGACUGCAUCAAGACCGUUUCGUGGGAACACUGCCAGACGCCUCUGGUAAAACUUCACUGACUCUCAGGAAACCCACAAUGUCAGACGCAGGACGCUACUUUGCCAUUCUGAACUUCGGAAGGUCAUAUGUUAGCGGCUCCGCACAGUAUUUGGUUGUAACAGACACUUCUGCUCCGGCCAUGCGCUUGUAUCGAGGGGCUGAUGGCCUUGGCUUUCCCUUGUUUCUCUGUGAGGUGACGGGAGCUGGUGCAAACUGGGGAGAUCCUUAUUGGCAAAUCAAGGGAGAAGGGGCAGUUGGAUGGCUCGAAGGAACCACAGGAAGACGAAUCGGCACUGACGGAGUCUUCACUCGAUGGUCCACUGUCAGACUCAACUCUACACUUAAUGUGGCAUGUGCGUGUCGCCACCAGAACCAGACGAGUGUACUUGUCAGAUCCUAUGAAUUAGAAGCGCCAGAUGGUAAGUUAAGGCAAUGUAUAGGCCUAUAUACUGUAUCCUCUCCCCAUAAUUAUUUCAUCUCGUGGUGGAACAUAAAUUGUGUUAUA